AGACACCCUCCUCUCCUACCUGCCACGCGCUCUCAGCUGGCCUGUGGGACACAACCCUCUCCCCCUCCCCUUUUCGGCCUUCGAGAGCGUGGGCGACUCGAGGCACUGGCGAGUCUCUCCAGGUUUUGACCAGCACCUGCUCUGGCCUGGAGAAGGAAGGUUUGGUCUACGGAGCGGACGGCAACAACAGAAACACUGGACAGCAGGAUCCAGGGUGUUAUCUGUAAUAUUGCGGCUUACGCCCCAAAUCUCAUGGACACCUUUCCCAAGUGUCAUUUAGAAACUCUAGACAAAACUGUGAGGUCUUUACCCAGGUUCUGCAGGACACUCAGCAAAGUACAUGGAAACGUCAGCUUUGUCUUCCUCGUUAUCAUCUUUCAGAUUUCACCCAAGGACCCAAAGCCUGGGUUCCAAAACCUGCUUUGGGAUGAAGAAACUGUGACCCAAGACUCCUAACUGUUUUAUUUAUUUCUCCGUAAAACCAGAGUAGCUGUGGCUAUUUGUGGCCGAUUUUUCUUUCCCAGGAAAUUCUCUUUGUCUUUAGACUUUGCCUAGAUUUUGAGACAAGAGCCAAGGAAAGCUGACGGCGAGAGAGACUGUCUCCCUCUCAGAGGUCUGUCUGCAGCUCCCAGUGCCGCGCAGUCCCACCCGAGGACGAGGGCGUGGUGUGAGUGCUUGCGCACACAAAUCGUGUCCACUCCAUGGUGAUGCUGUAUGGGGUGGCCCCGCCCUCAGCCACACCAGCCCGGAGCACAGAGCCCCUCAGAAAACACGUCACGAUAAACAGGGUGCACCCAAGGCCCUUAGCUGUUGGACGGGUGGCAUUUCCGUGAAACAGAGUGAGACCGAGGGUGGCGUUAGAACUCAUCAUGUCCUAGGCAAUUCCGGAGAAGAUGAACAUGAAGCCGAAUCCUGUUGCACACCAUGGGAAGUGUGAAAAUUCACAGUGGUCGUGCCCAGCGCUACCAUUCCCUUUUGUUCUGUAUUCACCACCAGCCUCACCAACUAGAGACGGGGAUGUUCUUGGGAUGAUGAGGUCCUCAGGUGUCUCUCUCACCUCUGCUGGGAAGACAAGAGACCAACACACCCUCCCACCCACCCUGUGUCGGGGCAAGGACGUAA